CCUACGGGUGGCAGCAGUGAGGAAUAUUGGUCAAUGGACGAGAGUCUGAACCAGCCAAGUAGCGUGAAGGAUGACUGCCCUAUGGGUUGUAAACUUCUUUUAUAUGGGAAUAAAAUUCAGCACGUGUACGGUUUUGUAUGUACCAUAUGAAUAAGGAUCGGCUAACUCCGUGCCAGCAGCCGCGGUAAUACGGAGGAUCCGAGCGUUAUCCGGAUUUAUUGGGUUUAAAGGGAGCGUAGGUGGAUGCUUAAGUCAGUUGUGAAAGUUUGCGGCUCAACCGUAAAAUUGCAGUUGAAACUGGGUGUCUUGAGUGCAGCAGAGGUGGGCGGAAUUCGUGGUGUAGCGGUGAAAUGCUUAGAUAUCACGAAGAACUCCGAUUGCGAAGGCAGCUUACUGGACUGCAACUGACGCUGAGGCUCGAAAGUGUGGGUAUCAAACAGGAUUAGAUACCCCUGUAGUC
rnacentral:rRNA from 1 species